GAAGUAAAAGUCGUAACAAGGUCUUCCGUUGGUGAACCAGCGGAGGGAUCAUUACUGA
rnacentral:rRNA from 1 species